rnacentral:rRNA from 1 species
GAUGAACGCUGGCGGCGUGCCUAAUACAUGCAAGUCGAGCGAACAGACGAGGAGCUUGCUCCUCUGACGUUAGCGGCGGACGGGUGAGUAACACGUGGAUAACCUACCUAUAAGACUGGGAUAACUUCGGGAAACCGGAGCUAAUACCGGAUAAUAUAUUGAACCGCAUGGUUCAAUAGUGAAAGACGGUUUUGCUGUCACUUAUAGAUGGAUCCGCGCCGCAUUAGCUAGUUGGUAAGGUAACGGCUUACCAAGGCAACGAUGCGUAGCCGACCUGAGAGGGUGAUCGGCCACACUGGAACUGAGACACGGUCCAGACUCCUACGGGAGGCAGCAGUAGGGAAUCUUCCGCAAUGGGCGAAAGCUUGACGGAGCAACUCCGCGUGAGUGAUGAAGGUCUUCGGAUCGUAAAACUCUGUUAUUAGGGAAGAACAAAUGUGUAAGUAACUAUGCACGUCUUGACGGUACCUAAUCAGAAAGCCACGGCUAACUACGUG